rnacentral:lncRNA from 1 species
GUUGUAACGACCCAAAUUUAAUUAUUAGUAAUUAGUUGAUUAUUUGCAUUUAUUUUAUUUGUGGUUUUUAAUGUAAUUAAUUAAUUAUGUGUUAAUUGUUGGUUUACAUGUUUUUAAUAGAAAUAACUCAUUAAGAAUAGAAUGAGGGAAGUGAUGUGUUAGAAUACGUUUUAGGCCCAUUUAGUAGAGGGGUAUUUUGGUAAAAGAAGAAGGGGGUAAACCUAACUAUAUAAAGAC